UAGGUGGCGAGCGUUGUCCGGAAUUAUUGGGCGUAAAGAGCAUGUAGGCGGUUUUUUAAGUCCGGAGUGAAAAUGCGGGGCUCAACCCCGUAUGGCUCUGGAUACUGGAAGACUUGAGUGCAGGAGAGGAAAGGGGAAUUCCCAGUGUAGCGGUGAAAUGCGUAGAUAUUGGGAGGAACACCAGUGGCGAAGGCGCCUUUCUGGACUGUGUCUGACGCUGAGAUGCGAAAGCCAGGGGAGCGA
rnacentral:rRNA from 1 species